UGUCGUUUGCUCGGAAAAACACGACCCUGUGCACGUAACCUAAUCCAUCACUGCCGGGGCGGCUUUUAGCCCUCCCGGCCCACCGGCCGCGGUCCUCGUUUGGGCCGCGUGCCGGGAAUACGGCGCGGUCUGCGCCAAGGAACACGAGAUGCUGAGGCGGCCGGCGGAGCGCUCCGGCGCACCGCAUGCCGUCAAUGCAAAGGAAUACAUGAUGACUCUCGGCAACGGAUAUCUCGGCUCUCGCAUCGAUGAAGAACGUAGCGAAAUGCGAUACGUGGUGUGAAUUGCAGAAUCCCGCGAACCAUCGAGUCUUUGAACGCAAGUUGCGCCCGAGGGAUCCGCCCGAGGGCACGCCUGCCUGGGCGUUAGAAGCCCAUCCACGCUCGGUGCUUACUCAGCCCCGAUGCGGAUCAUGGCCCUCCGAGCCUAACGGCACGGUGGGCCUAAGUGUGCGGCCGCUGGGAGGAGCCGUGAGCGGCGAGUGGUGGAACGCUGCGUACGCCGCCUCGUGCUCCUUGCCGGCAAACGGCCUUGACCGACCCUUGAACGAGGAGCCUUGCCUACAACGGCGUGGCGCUUCGGAUCGAUACCCCUAGAAGAAAAACCCA
rnacentral:rRNA from 1 species